UAUAGUUUUCGAUGUAUAAGUCUUUCACCUUCUGGUUAAGUUUAUUUCUAAGUAUUUUAUUAUUAUUGAUGCUAUUGUAAAGGGGAUUUAAAAAAUAUUUUUUAUUUAAAAAAUUCUUCUAAUUUUUUUAUUUUUGAGAAAGAAACUGAAUGUGAGUGGAGGAGGGGCAGAGAGAGAGGGAGACACAGAAUCUGAAUCAGGCUCCGGGCUUUGAGCUGUUGGCACAGAGCCCAAAACAGGGCUCAAACUCACAGACUGAGAGAUCAUGAUCUGAGCUGAUAUCAAGAGUCUGAAGUUUAACUGACUGAGCCACCCAGUCACCCCAAGGGAUUGUUUUUUAAAUACCCUGUUCAGAUUUCAUUGUAUAGAAAUGCAAUUGAUUUUUGUAUGUUAAUUUUGUAUCCUGCAACUUUAUUGAAUUUUUUAGUACCAACGGUUUUUCAGUGGUCUUUAGGAUUUCCUACCUAUAAGAUAAUACCAUCUGCAAACAGACAAGUUUACUUCUUCUUUUCCAUUUAUUUCUUUUUGCCUUUUAUUUCUUCUUGCCUAACUGUUCUGCCUAGGACUUCCAGUACUAUGUUGAAUGAAAGUGGCAAGAGCGGCCAUCUUUGUCUUAUUCCUGAUCUUAGAGGAAGAGCUUCAGUUUUUCAUUGUUGAGUAUGAUGUUAGCUGUGAGCUUUUCAUAUACAGCCUCUGUUAUGUUGAUGCAAUUUCCUUCUACUUCUACUUUGUUGAGAGUUAUUAAUCAUGCAAGUAUGUUGAAUUUUGUGAAGUGUCUUUUCUGCAUCUAUUGAGAUGAUCAGCUAUUUUUUUCCCUUUACCUUGUUAAUGUGGUAUAUCACAUUGAUUUGGUUAUGUUCAACUGAACUUGCACCCUAGGGAAAAUUCCCAUUUGGUUAUGUAUGUGAUCCUUUUAAUAUAUUGUCAAAUUUAGUUUGCUUUUAUUUUGUUGAGUAUCUUUUCCAUCUUUUCCUUUCAGCCUCUGUAUGUCCUUAAAGUGAGUUUCUUGGAGAGAGCAUAUAGUUGGAUCUUUUUGUUUGUUUUUUUCCCUUUAAACACCUCUAUGUAUUUUGAUUGGGGAGUUUAAUGUAUUUACAUUUAAGUAAUUAUUGAUAGAGAAGGACUUCUUAUUGCCGUUUUAUGAAUUGUGUGAUAUUAUCUUGUAAGUCUUUUGUUCCUUCUUCUCUCUUUUGCUGUCUUCCCUUGUGGUUCAUUAAUUUUUAAAUUUAUUAUUAUUAUUCUUUUAAUAACAUGCUUUGAUUGCUUUCUCAUUUCCUCACUUUCUUUGCUGUAUUUUCUAUAGGUAUUUUCUUUGUAAUUACCAUGGAGCUUACAUAAAACUUCUUAAACUUUUAACAUUCUGCUUUAAGUUGACAAAAACUUCAAUCACAAAACUAUACCUUUAUGUCUCCCCCUAAAACACUUUAUGUUAUUGAUGUCAAAUAUUACAACCUUUUUUUUUUACUGUGUAUCUACUUCAUGUGUUUUUAUAGUCAUAGUUUUUUUUUGUACUUUUGUAUUUUAACUUGUACACUUGAACUAAAAGUGAUAUAUACACCACCAUUACAGUAUUACAGCUUCUGCAUUGCUAUCCAUGUUUACAUUUAGCAGCAAGUUUUAUGGUUCAUAUGCUUUUGUGUUGCUGUUUAGAAUCCUUUUGUUUCAAGUUGAAGAACUUCCUUCAGCAUAUCUCAUCUUCUGGAGCAGCAGCACACCCAUGACCUUGUCCUCAGUGAUCCCCAGAUGUCUAGAGUAUGCCAGGUCCCAUCCAUGCUAAGAGAUAGGGAUAAUCUUGGCGCUGGGGAUCUUCCUGAUUGGGCUGUGCUGAAUCAUGGGUAGGAGCUCUCGUGAGACUGAACUGGCAUCACUGGGUUACAGAAGCUUUAAGAGGACAACCUUGCAUCACAGUGGACCUACUUAGGCAUUCUUAAUGGCAUCACAAUUACCAGUUUAACUCAGCUGACUACCUGCAUGAAUCCAGCUAUCUGUCCGUCUGUCUGUCUGUCUGUUUGUGCUUCCGUUCCACUAUCUGAGCCUCUGAUGGAGGAAACCAAUCAGGCGAAAAGCUUGGUGCCAUUAGGUGUUCAUAAAUCUCAACCCAGAAUGAACCCUCAUCUCUGCCUAGCCAUGCUAUUGUUUCUUUGGUCAGUUUGCUUUCUCCAUUCCACAAAGAUUACUUCAAACUCCCUUUACUCUCUUCCCUCUAACAACUUUACAUAAGCAUCUGGAUUUCCACCCAUCUCUGUUCUAGCCUGUUACAGUAAAGGAGUGUUUCCUCCCAUUUAGCUAAGAUCAAUCUCUCCAACAGUGUCAGAUCCUCCGGUCUUCUUUCCCUUUCACUCCUAACUCAGCCUCAUGCUGUCACCUAUUUAUUCCCUCUUCCCUGUCUGUGGCCUCUUGAUGCUUUUGCAAAACAAACAAACCUCCUGAAACCCGUCAUUAAAAACAAAGCCAACAAAAUCCUUCAUUUUAUUUUCCCUUCUAACAAUGGCCAUAUGUCUCUCCUCCUCUUCACAGCCUAAUUUCUUAAGUCAGAUGAUUUUGUAAGGGUAAAUAGAGACAAUCCUCAUGGAUGCAGAAGUGUACAG